rnacentral:snRNA from 1 species
AGCUUUGCAUGGUGUCUGUAUUGUAGCCAAUGAGGUUUAUCCAAGGCAUGAUUAUUGCUAAUCAUGUGAAAAACUUUU